UCACGUUUGGCUUCUGUCAUGGCUGCCAGCAUUUCUUGAGGAGCAAUCCAAAAAAACUAGGCCAAAUCGGCGGGUGGAGUUCCCCUUCAAGGUUGUUUGCGUAACCCCGGUUCUCUGAUGUUAUGAAUGAGAUAUCUCACGGGAGGAUUUGCUAGGAUCACCUACAUCCGUUGGAGACAGACAGACAGCAGGUGGCACACUUCCCCUCCUCCGCUUCUUUGUCAGUGCCUUCACACCUCUAGAUGGCCCGGGUGGUGUGGAGCCGGAGACAACAGGUGUCCGGCUGGAUGAACCAGCUUCAGUGGGGGAUGGACACCUUGGCACUGGGGGCUCCCAUUCGGAGAUGUCGGCGGGCGGAGCUGGGAGGGUCGUCAGCGACAUGGGACACACCUGGGCCCGGGUGUGUCCUGGGAUAAAUACACAGCUUCCCCAGUCAUUGAGGAGAUUCUCCAUGCAGACGGUCAGAUUUUGGUUGUGGCAUUUUUGUGGCUGUUUUGUUUGUUUGUUUGCUUUGGCACCUUUCAACACCGUUCAUUAUCACAUGUAUGCACGCAAUCACACUCACUUACACUACUGAUGACUGACUACACACACCAUUGUUAAUUGUAUUUACGUUACUUCUGUUAAUAAAUAUAUUUUUGGU